GGAGUGGGUUGGGACGUAUUGGACAACUCCCGUUUUUCCAACAGGCGGCGGUAAAAUUGUUCCGUUUCUAUAUCCACGCCG
rnacentral:tRNA from 1 species